GUGGGGAAUAUUGGACAAUGGGCGAAAGCCUGAUCCAGCCAUGCCGCGUGAGUGAUGAAGGCCUUAGGGUUGUAAAGCUCUUUCAGUGGGGACGAUAAUGACGGUACCCACAGAAGAAGCCCCGGCUAACUUCGUGCCAGCAGCCGCGGUAAUACGAAGGGGGCUAGCGUUGUUCGGAUUUACUGGGCGUAAAGCGCACGUAGGCGGAUCGUUAAGUCAGGGGUGAAAUCCUGGAGCUCAACUCCAGAACUGCCUUUGAUACUGGCGAUCUAGAGUCCGGAAGAGGUGAGUGGAACUCCUAGUGUAGAGGUGGAAUUCGUAGAUAUUAGGAAGAACACCAGUGGCGAAGGCGGCUCACUGGUCCGGUACUGACGCUGAGGUGCGAAAGCGUGGGGAGCAAACAGGAUUAGAAACCCGGGUAGUCC
rnacentral:rRNA from 1 species